CAUCCUAUCAUUCAUUAUGCUGACUUUCUCGGUGUGGAUGAUAUACUAAAUCGACUGUGUGUCUCUCCCAAUACAUGCACUCGCCAGUAGUCACGGACAUACAGUUGGCCUACAGGCAGGGAUAAAAAUAGCACAAACCGAUGCGACGGGCGCAGCCCUUUUUCCCUUUUCAGAGCCGACUUUUCUAGGUGGCUGCCACAGUCCUCACUACCUCUAACUCUAAACCCCCAACCCUCUUUAACCCACCCCAUCCCAUCCCGUAAAGUCUCGUGAAUCUGAAUCAAGGUGUUAUAGAUAUUGGAAGGUGGGGUGAGAGACGGAGCAUACUAUGGAGGGAGGUUUGUUUGUGCGCCUUUUUGCAUGGACACGAGUGUGCGCUCCCCGUGAGUCUAUUCCGUGGGUGAGCGGGGUCUGGGUGCGUGGGCACGACCGAGUGAAUAUAUAGAUGGAUGAGGCAGCGGCUAAGCUCGCUUCCUUCUCCAUCGGCUUAGCUGCAAGAGUGUUUUUGCCCGCCAAAUGCACUGGACGCUGGGAUAAAAAUUCUCCAAGACCAAAACAGCACCAACGCUUGGUGGUGGUGGUGGUGGUGGGGAGGGAUAUAUAGAGACAAGGGGAAGGACGGAGGAGGCGGGAGGAGGAGUGAGGUUGGAUGGAAACCCAGAUGCUCCAACAUUAGAGGAGGGUUUUUUUUACUAGGAGAUAACCUUCUCCAAAGCUUCAGUUUCCACGAGUCCACACCACAUUACCCACCUGUAACAUUUUCCUGUUUUGUCACUCAUUUUUUCCAUGGCACAUUUGCGCGGAGAGCUGAUCACAGAGCGGCAGCGUCUUUAAUCAGACUCUACGGGCUGUAAAGUGAGAGAAUCUAAACGUGACGUCAAUGCCUAGUAACUGACGCAGCCCUUCAACAAAAAAAAAGGCUUUUUUAUUUAUUAUUUUUCUUCUUCUCGUCAGCAAAGCUUAAUUACUCAAUUUUACAGUGCUCCGUCGACUAAAGGAAAAAAGAAAAUCCCGCAGGGAGCGUCGGGUAAUCCGCGUUUAUCAGUAUUUGGACCUAUUUUCUUUCUUUCUUCUUUUUUUUUUUUUUUGUUGCGUUCAUGAGUUUCAGCUGCUGAAGUGACACUAGGACGAGAAGCUUCUGAAGAGGGCGACAAGACAUCAAAUAUUGUCGAUGAUAUUGGCGCCGACGACGAGUUCCAUAUUUUAGUUGUAGAGUGGUUGAAAGUAGUGUGUUUUAAGGAUGAGAGGAGGUGGUGGUGCUGUUGAAGGCACAUUGGGUUGCAAAAAAAAAAAAAAAACCACUGCAAUGAUGCAACGGAGGGGAAUCGGGGCUCUUGUGCAGAGUUGGAGAGGCAAAAUUAAUUUACAUUACAUGCACUUCACGUAACGUUUCCUAAGCGAUGCCUUUUGUGGGUGUUUUUUCCCUCCUUCCUCGUACUGUGACCUAAAAAUAGCAUCAUAGUUUUGAUCGUGCGCCAGAAAUAGACAGACGGGUAUCACUUGUAUAAAAAGAGAGGCGAUCCUCAGCAAACUUGGACGUACCACUUUUAGAACCAGGACGUGCUUACACCACGAGUGGUCGUACUGACAGAGAAGCCGCGGUGGAGGAGGAAGAGGACAGGAGAGGACAGGAGAGGAUGGAGUGAAGUGAAGUGAAGGAGCUGUUGCUGCAGCAGAGACCAGGCGCACCGCAUGGGGAAACCCGGGAGCGAGCUGUCCAGCAGCAAUGGAGAAACAACAACAACAACAAGAGCAAAGAUGGAAAUGAGGGGACUUGUGUACCCGGGUGGACCUCUGCUGCGGGAGCCUCCAGCUGUGCGCCGGAGAAGAAAAAGGGGGACCCACGUUUUGGAUGUUUUCACCGAGGAGCGCAGACACAGACAGACAGAGAGAGGGGGUUGGGACGACCGAGCGACCGACCUUCCUCCUCCUUGUCCUCCCCCUUUUCCUCAUCCCGAGAAAGAGGACUGUGUGAAUGCCAUCCCACAGCACUGAAGCAACGGUGAAGACUGGUCUGUGGACCAGAGGGUGUUCUUCCCAUCACUGCAGGACUCAAAUGAUGAUUGUGAGAAGAGAGAGCAUGGAAACUAUCACAGCGGAUGAAGCAGAAGGUAACAAUAAAGGAACUGCCCUGGCAGCAUGGAGGGGCGAGGCAGCCAGAUGGACGGGUGGUGAGAGAAACUUGGAUGAACCAACACCUUUUUUCCCCAGAAGUACCACCCAAAAUCCUGAGAGUUAAGCCGGUUUGAGUUGGACACACCCGUCAUCCGCCCUGUGCUUGGAUCCAGAGACAGAGUCCCAUGGGAAGGAUGAACAGAUGAAGAGGACGAUGCGACAGCAGCCAGUGUGUGAGGCAGCUGGACAUACACACACGCAUACACACAGACGUGUCUGCUGCGAUGUUGCUGUCGUCGUGGGAUGACACACGUCUGUAGCUGCGAGGACACACGAAAGAGAAGUGAAGAUGGACUCUCAAAACGUCUGAUGAAUGUGUGUGUGUGUGUGUGUGUGUGUGUGUGUGUGUGUGUGUGUGUGUCAUGUGUGAAAAUUGAUGCUAUUGAUUGUUAUCAGUUGAAACACUCUGAGACUUUGAGGCUGCUCUUCUACAAAACUAUUAAAUGUCUGUGUUACACUCCACAAUGCUGUGUGUGUGUGUGUGUGUGUGUGUGUGUGUGUGUGUGUGUGUGUGUGUGUGUGUGUGUGUGUGUGUGUUUAAUAUAAAUCCUGUCACGUUUAAAUUCAAAUAUUUGUUCACAAAAAUCAGCUCCAUGUUAGAGGCUGUGAGAUGAUAAAUGUUUAUUAUAUUCCAGAUGCAUGUCUAGUUUAGACUGUGCGGUGAUGUGUCUGAAUACAAAGCUGCUGCUGUCAAAGUAUUUUGUGCAGAUUAUUUAGUGAAAGAUGACCUUUCAUAAAUAUAUUUCACUCUGCACAUUGUAACUCUGACUGAGAGACAUCUGGUCAGAAACACAUUUCAUUUCACCCCGUUUGGAAACUGUUACACAACUUGCUGCUCCUUCCUCUCGGUGUCACGUUGACUUCGAUCCCCUCACUUGUGUCAAAGAAUGCGAGCGGCUGCAUGAUGACUGUCAGCACGUAGUCACAUUAUCAUACUCUUGUCCCUGUUCAGAGUACAUGACAGCCUUUGCUUUGCGCCACAGAGCCUCGGGUUGUCAGAAUUUCAUGUUUUGUUUGGUGUGUGUGUGUGUGUGUGAUGAGAGACAGGGAGCAUGGCGGCACAGGAGGUUGGAGGUGGUGGUGGAGGGGUGCUGAAGACUGAAAAAUGCUGUUGCAAACAGGCUUUCUGGGUCGGAUUGGGGAACAGAGAGCACAUACUGCUGUGGAGAAAAAGCCGUGACAGUCGAUUGUGCUGAAACAUCCAGUGUGUGCAGACGCGGCUGUUUUAUUCAUGUGCAGGAAAUGUUACAGAAACAGUGAAAUAAAGCGAUGGAGAUCCA